rnacentral:rRNA from 1 species
UACGAAGGGGGCUAGCGUUGCUCGGAAUCACUGGGCGUAAAGCGCACGUAGGCGGCUUCUUAAGUCAGGGGUGAAAUCCUGGAGCUCAACUCCAGAACUGCCUUUGAUACUGAGGAGCUUGAGUCCGGGAGAGGUGAGUGGAACUGCGAGUGUAGAGGUGAAAUUCGUAGAUAUUCGCAAGAACACCAGUGGCGAAGGCGGCUCACUGGCCCGGUACUGACGCUGAGGUGCGAAAGCGUGGGAGCAAACAGGAUUAGAAACCCUGAGAG